rnacentral:rRNA from 1 species
AGUGAACGCUGGCGGUAGGCCUAACACAUGCAAGUCGAACGGCAGCACAGGAAAGCUUGCUCUCUGGGUGGCGAGUGGCGGACGGGUGAGGAAUACAUCGGACUCUAUUCUGUCGUGGGGGAUAACGUAGGGAAAAUUACGUUAAUAGCGCAUACGACCUACGGGUGAAAGCAGGGGACCGUCGGACCUUGCGCGAUUGAAUGAGCCGAUGUCGGAUUAGCUAGUUGGCGGGGUAAAGGCCCACCAAGGCGACGAUCCGUAGCUGGUCUGAGAGGAUGAUCAGCCACACUGGAACUGAGACACGGUCCAGACUCCUACGGGAGGCAGCAGUGGGGAAUAUUGUACAAUGGGCGCAAGCCUGAUCCAGCCAUACCGCGUGGGUGAAGAAGGCCUUCGGGUUGUAAAGCCCUUUUGUUGGGAAAGAAAUCCAGCUGGCUAAUACCCGGUUGGGAUGACGGUACCCAAAGAAUAAGCACCGGCUAACUUCGUGCCAGCCGCCGCCGUAA